GCUGGCGGCAGGCCUAACACAUGCAAGUCGAACGGUAACAGGAAGCAGCUUGCUGCUUUGCUGACGAGUGGCGGACGGGUGAGUAAUGUCUGGGAAACUGCCUGAUGGAGGGGGAUAACUACUGGAAACGGUAGCUAAUACCGCAUAAUGUCGCAAGACCAAAGAGGGGGACCUUCGGGCCUCUUGCCAUCGGAUGUGCCCAGAUGGGAUUAGCUAGUAGGUGGGGUAAAGGCUCACCUAGGCGACGAUCCCUAGCUGGUCUGAGAGGAUGACCAGCCACACUGGAACUGAGACACGGUCCAGACUCCUACGGGAGGCAGCAGUGGGGAAUAUUGCACAAUGGGCGCAAGCCUGAUGCAGCCAUGCCGCGUGUAUGAAGAAGGCCUUCGGGUUGUAAAGUACUUUCAGCGGGGAGGAAGGGAGUAAAGUUAAUACCUUUGCUCAUUGACGUUACCCGCAGAAGAAGCACCGGCUAACUCCGUGCCAGCAGCCGCGGUAAUACGGAGGGUGCAAGCGUUAAUCGGAAUUACUGGGCGUAAAGCGCACGCAGGCGGUUUGUUAAGUCAGAUGUGAAAUCCCCGGGGCUCAACCUGGGAACUGCAUCUGAUACUGGCAAGCUUGAGUCCUCGUAGAGGGGGGUAGAAUUCCAGGUGUAGCGGUGAAAUGCGUAGAGAUCUGGAGGAAUACCGGUGGCGAAGGCGGCCCCCUGGACGAAGACUGACGCUCAGGUGCGAAAGCGUGGGGAGCAAACAGGAUUAGAUACCCUGGUAGUCCACGCCGUAAACGAUGUCGACUUGGAGGUUGUGCCCUUGAGGCGUGGCUUCCGGAGCUAACGCGUUAAGUCGACCGCCUGGGGAGUACGGCCGCAAGGUUAAAACUCAAAUGAAUUGACGGGGGCCCGCACAAGCGGUGGAGCAUGUGGUUUAAUUCGAUGCAACGCGAAGAACCUUACCUGGUCUUGACAUCCACGGAAGUUUUCAGAGAUGAGAAUGUGCCUUCGGGAACCGUGAGACAGGUGCUGCAUGGCUGUCGUCAGCUCGUGUUGUGAAAUGUUGGGUUAAGUCCCGCAACGAGCGCAACCCUUAUCCUUUGCUGCCAGCGGUCCGGCCGGGAACUCAAAGGAGACUGCCAGUGAUAAACUGGAGGAAGGUGGGGAUGACGUCAAGUCAUCAUGGCCCUUACGACCAGGGCUACACACGUGCUACAAUGGCGCAUACAAAGAGAAGCGAUCUCGCGAGAGCAAGCGGACCUCAUAAAGUGCGUCGUAGUCCGGAUUGGAGUCUGCAACUCGACUCCAUGAAGUCGGAAUCGCUAGUAAUCGUGGAUCAGAAUGCCACGGUGAAUACGUUCCCGGGCCUUGUACACACCGCCCGUCACACCAUGGGAGUGGGUUGCAAAAGAAGUAGGUAGCUUAACCUUCGGGAGGGGGCUUACCACUUUGUGAUUCAUGACUGGGGUG
rnacentral:rRNA from 1 species